GUUUUGGUUUGUUGGUGUUUUUUUUCCUGGCAGGGUUUUCAAAUAGAGUGGUUUUGAAAACCUUUGAAACCAUUUGACUGUGCAAGUGCCUACUAGGUAAGGAGGCUGAUGAAUUACUGUUGAACAGGAGAAGGAAAUUAACACUAAACAGCUCUUGGAAAGCAAAAUGAAACCUGAAAGCAGAAAAUCCAUAAAUGAAAACCAAAUAAGAACUAUAAAAACAUUCAGAAAUUUUUUGAAGUAUGAAAAAAGUAGGUUUUUCAAAAAAAAACCUAACUUCCCAUUAAGAUAUUAAUGCUUUAGGAAAAUAAUAACUUUCAUUAAACCACCUUUGAAUGCAAACUUCCUUGCUCCUCUGCAGUGCCAAGUGUGAUAGGGAAGGUGUUUCAUGUGAACACAGAUACCUGGAGUGACCCAGGUAAACUAAAUGUCACAGAGGUAUCUGGUUGGAGUCCACCUCCAGGCCCUGUGGCAUGGAAAGCAGCGUGAGAGCUCCUGUGAUGAUGUAUUCUUUUGCAAUCUGUGACUGUUUGGGUGUCUUCUUAUAGAGAUACAGUUUUGAAAGUGGUAUUACAGCAAGAUGUAAAGAAAUUGACAUUAUUUUGCUGUUUUAAGGAUUCUCAAAGCUUUCCUUGCUUUCUGCAGCUGGCACAAAUAGUUCUGCCUUGAUGGUGUUCUUGCCUUCUCUGGUGUUGGUUUACAAGCUGUAUAUGAGCCUGUAUGUUUGUCUGUGUGUGGCAAUGGUGGAAGAGGGUUAUGAUUAUUUUUAUUUACAACAGAAAAGUGUUAACCCUGGAUCUUUGGGCCAAUUCUGUGAUUUUCCACUUGCUAUAGCAUAGGCUCUGUAAGGCCUGUGUGGCUAUGGAGUAUCUUAAAAACUAUAGGAGUGUCUGAAGCAGCAGAUGAUCCUGUUACCUUAGUUUCAAACUGGAUCCCCAAAGGGACCAUUUCUCCAAACACCAGUUCUCUUGUCCUUGCCUCAGGUAAGAGCAAAACCCCCUUGGGAUACUGUGAAUUUCCCCCCAUGCUACUCACAGAACUGGGAGGAGCUCUGUGUGUUUCAGUACUCUUACAUGGGGCUCACAGCUUUCUGUUGGCUCAGGCUCAUCUUUAGAAAAGGGUUGACUCAAAAUAACAUGCAGAUCCAAAUUUGUGAUGGUUAGUCUCCAUCUAUCCUGAGCCAAAGCACACUCACAUCUAGUCUGAGUUUCUGCAUUCUGGGGAGGCUUUGAAUUGUCUUUCUGAACAAAGAUUCAAGCUUUUUGAUGAGUGUGUGUUUUUCUGUUUGAGGAGUAGUUAAUUAGACAUGUUAGCUGUGAUCCCAGCAUUAAACGGCGUGACCCCAUUCCUCAGACCUGCUCUGGCAAAGCGCCUAAGCAUGUUCUUUACUUGGAGCAUGUGACUAAUCACCUCAACUUCAGUAGGCUGUUCAUAUGCUUAAAGUUAAGAAUCUGCUUUCCUGGAUGAUGUUCAGCUUCCUGCAGAGUCCAGCCCCCACUCUUCUCUUCUUAUCCUCCCCUUGUAGACAAAGUGACAUUCUUGUCCUAGCCUGAUACAUCAGGGUGUGUUUGGUCUCCCUUUCUGGGAGGUGGGAACGCAGGGUCCGUAGGCAAGAGGCUCUUUCCUUCCCAUGGACUUUCAUGUUGCACUGCUGGGACAACAUAUCUCUAUGCUCCAGAGACCACAGAGGAACUUGACUGCAAAGAACACAGAUGUCAUAAAAUACAAGUCCCAGGGACACAGGAUGAAUUGUCUCAACCCAUUGUGAUCUGUAGGCUGAGAUUUUGCAUGUGGUGAUUCAGUUAUAGUACAGUGAAGUUGUCCUGUGACCGCAGUGAGUUAGCUACAGGGGAUUUGCUGUCCGUCUCUGCUGGGAGCACUACAUACGUGACGGGGCUACAUGGCAGGAGUACAUGUGCUCUGAAUCUCAUGUACUGUAUAGGACACCCUCUUCUUCAAGCUAAAGCUUGAAGUGUGUUAAAAUUUCUGACUCAUAAUGGCCACCUGUAUAUAUCAUCUCUCUCUUCUCCCUCUCUGCAAGCACACAACUGAUCUUCCCUGAUCUAAAUAGUAGAGCCCCUCCGGUUAUAUUUCUAGUUGGGAUUUUUUGCCUUUCAUUCUAUCCCAGGGGCAGUCACAAGUGGAUCACAAACCACCAGUGACCAGAGCAAUUUCUCUGAAAUAUUGCUUCUGAAAAAUUGCAAUUACUGUUUUAAAUGUUAUUUCAGCUGCAGUAACAAAUGGAAGAAAAAAAACCCAACCAACCAAAAAACCCUCACAAACCAAACACAAAAAAAGCCUCAAAGUCCUCCAAACAGAGGAUGUUCAUCGUCUAAGGAGAAAAUUGUGAGAGUUCGGGUAUUCUGCUUUCCUGUAGAUGCAAGUCAUUUGGGACCACUUUCAACUGUGGCAUGUUAGCUAUGCAGUUCAUUGGAUGGUGAACAAAACAGCGUUGGUGAGGGAGAGGAUUGAUAUGCAGAGGGUAUCUCAGAUUCCUAAGGGUUUCUGGAAGACUGUGUCUCCACGGCUGUCCAUUUACCCACUAUGCAGCACCACCAAAUCAGGCUCAUCCCUGGAGCCCACUGAUAAACAGAGCUCAGAAGAAAAUCACUGUAAUCUGUCCUUAAUUCUUGAGUGCCAAGCUAACUGCCAGCAGUGAAAUGGAGAGGAAAUAAUAUGUUACCAAGUAUAGCUUAAAUAAAGACAUACAUUGUUCGGGCUCUUUCUUCUGUGUGUCUCUACAUAAGCCUAGAAGGGCUGUAGGAGUGCUCAGGCACAUUCACACAAACCAGCACCGCAUUUCAUUGCCCCCAGGUUUUGUGCUUUUUCAUGGCCCAUACUGCUGUGCUCACCCAGCCAGCAAGGGAAGACUCAAGGUGAAAAACUGAGACAGCUCUGAAUGAUUGCCAGGCGCCACUGAGAGACAAAGAGUAAAGAGCGUGCGUGAAGCACAAACAGCAUGUAAAGAUUACUGAUGGAUGAAUUUCCAAGGUCAGGAACUCAGUUUCAAAAAAGCCUAAAGUUUGAUCACAAACUCCAGGCCAGAUCUAUACAGUCUUGAUUCUGACAGUCUAAACCAAAAACUCAUGAAGACAGGGCUUAUCUCAAAACUUAUAGCCCUACUGUUUGGAGUUAUAACCAGGAAUAUAAUGCAUCUGUUCCAUAGUCUGUUGAAGUCCAUUAGAAAGCUUCCCAUUGGCUCCAGUGGGUUUUGGAUCAGGUGCCUUAGAAAAUGUUUUAGUGCUGUCUGGGUUAACACUGAAAUUUAAAUGCGUGCUUACACACUAUAUCUAAUCUUUGGCUUUAAAUAGUUGUCAGAUACUACCUUUCCUUUUGGAGCCUGGUACAAUGCUGUCAAUUUAAUUACAGUAUGCCUUACACGUGUUUAGGAUUUAACUUGGAGAAAGCCUAGAUGAUUGCCUCAAUAUAGGCCACAAGAGGAAAAUGAAAUGGUGGUCACCUCUAGUAAAGCACUUCAGAAUCACAGAUCUGUCGUCCUUCCUUGCUCAGGGAAGAUUUGCAAUGAAAAUAACAGAGGCUUAGAUAGAUUAUCUCCAGGGAAGGUGAGGGAACAAAAAAAGGAAACCUAACAGCAGUUGCUAUAGGUCAGAAUUGACGAGCACUGGUAGAAUUACGUGAGGACGAUCCAAUGUCGCCCACAGCAUCAACAGCAGGAAUUGUCAGACCAUCCUAGGACUGCACUGUUAUAUUUUCCUUCACCGAUUAACAUUCCUGCAGAGUGGCAGAAAGUGACUUCAAACGUUUUCUUGCGUAGGAUGUAUAUACAUGGGCACCCUCGCUCCCCUCCUUCCCUAGACACACACACAUGCACAUCCCACAUGAUGUGGGUGCUAGUAACCUGUGAAUAUGUGUACUACACAGAGAGGAAAUACAUGGCAAAAUGCAGCAUGAUCAUUUCUUUUCUAUUCUUUUAUAAUUAACUCAGGAGUUAGAGUGCAAUUCAGAUGCUAUCUGUGUCUGUGCUAGGUUGUGCAUGCAAAACACAUGGAAACUAUCUGCUGAAGAGACACGGGGAAGCACAGUGUAACUGGGACCAUUUGGGUAUUCACCAUCAAAAUGUAUUUGGAUAUGUAACAAAGUGUUGCCAGUAUUCAGAUGAGAUGACACAAAUAUAUGUUUCUUUCUGCCCAUUUUGCUUUGGGCAGAUACAUCCCCCAGAAAGGGAGGCAGUGAACAGCUCAGGGCAGAAACACCCUGAAACACUGCAGCAAGACUCCAGAGCUGACCGUCAGUUCUCUUCAGUGUUGGUUUCGAUGGAGCUGCUGCUGAUCCAGUCAAUCCUUGAGCUAGCCAUCCUACCUCCAAAAAAUGCAGUUGUGUCCACAAGUCCUACCUGCCUUCAGUUGUGACCCAGAGUCCUUCCUACCUUGUAGUGCUACAGACCCUGGUACUAAUCACUCAUGUGAAAUACAUACAGGCAUCACUUCCUGAGUAAGGCUGAGGGAAAACGAAGUCCCGUCAGGCCAGCCUUGGUAUUCAUAAGAUUGAUUCUUGUAACCUGCUGUUGCAAGGUGCUUCUCUAACACAGAUGGCCUCAGCCACAGGAGAACAAAUCACACCAUAUCACUUCCAAAUCAGAAAUGUUUAUGAUCCUCUGGUGUACAAAUCCUGCUGUGCUGAGAGGCAGCGCCCUGGCAGGACACCACCUGAGUCUGUCCUCUGCAGAGGGCUGGUGUGGGCUGUCAGCAGCAUGAAAACUGCAGUUAAUGCUGCUCAGCACAGCAGGGAGCUCCGCGUCCCAUGGCUCUGAGCCCUACCUGUGGCAGCAUGGCAUAGGAAUAUCUCUGUAAAGGCAAUUCCUUCAAGCAGCCUCGUUAUUUUGCCAGUUGGUCAGAAAUAUGCAAACAGUAACAGUGAUUCUGCUGUGGAUGAGAUUAACAGCCAAGCCUUCAAAAAACUGUGUCACCCGCGGGUUUUGCCCCAGUUUCGAAGUUAUGUUAGACACCAAAGAGCAUGAAUCAGGUAUGGCUCAGUCUCCUGGGGCCAGCUCCACAAAAGAGCUUCAGCAUCCAGUUUUCCUUAGGCAGUGAGUAGGAGUAAAAUGCUAUAUGCCUUUGGUACCCACAUAUUUAAAACCCCCAAACAUAUAUGCUCCUAAUUGGCUUAAGCUUUCGUGACUUUUUAUCUCAAGAACAGUUUUCAUCUGACUGUUGGACUUAAGGCUGUAUUUUUUUAAGAAAGGCUAUUCAUUGACAAUAUAGAUUGUAAGGAAAAGGUUCAAGUAAUCAGAACAACGAAAAUGCACCCUUUGACCAUUCAGUUAGAGCGUGCUGAAUCAUUUAUAAGUCCUGGGCAUGAACAACAGUCACAGACCUCUAACUUAAACUUUUUGCUAUUUUUAUUUGGCAAUUUCAUCACUUAGAUUGUUUACCUUUAUGUAUUUGCUAUUUGAUCUUUUGCAGGACAAAAUUUCCCCCACUUUACACAUAAAAACAUAUUUGGGGACUUUUGAAGAUAUUUUUCUGCACUAACUUGGAUUUUUUUAAAGCUUUUUAAGGCCUAGUAGGAUAGACUUUACAACUUUCAAAGCUGUACACUGUACCUAAAAUGGGCUUGAACUUUCAGUUCUUUCUCAAGUAAAAUUCCCUUUGAUUAUAGAUCAUUGGAAUCAAUGGGAAAUUUGCUUCAUUAACAACUGUAAGACUGGAUCCUAUUUAUGAGUAUAUGUGAUGAGGGGAAUUAGGUAAGGGGGCUGUACUUGUAUGUUAGCCCACUUUUGAUGUUUUGCAUAGACACAGGAACAGUAACUGCUAGGUCACUCCAACUUUAUACCAAUCUGUUUUUGUAAAAAACAACCAUUACACUUGUGUGUGGCUGGAAUAAGGCAGUGGUAAAUCUAGCCCCUAGGCUGACACACAUAUACAUGUAUAUAUGUGUAUAUAUGUAUAUAUAUUUGUAACUCUAUGAACAAUGUCUAUAGCUUCAUGAUUGCCUGAGAUAAGGUGAGGUUGAUGUACAGAAUUUCAGGCAAAGGACUGUUUCUUUUUCACAAUCCUCAUGUAUCUCAGAUUUAAAUUGAAACAAAUGAAAAAGUUCUAUUUCCCAGGAAAAUCCUUAUUCUGCCACUGUGUCCCACUAAAGCCAGCAGCAUGCAUAUCCAAACACGUAUAUCCAGUCGUGAAUACAUGAGACUUAAUUUCAAGGGCUUCUUUAAGAAAAAGAAAUGGACUGAAAAAGCCAACAGCACAAUUUCUGUUCCACAUUAGCUCUCUCAGCACACUCACUCUUUAUUAAGAGGCCCUUUGUAUGAAUGCUGUUCUUCUGCACCGGUGUAUGUUUGUGUGGAGCAUCUUUGUGGAUGAAGUCAAGCUACACUAAGGCCUGGAUUUUCUGACCUGCAUUCGUCCUCAUUAACCUUAAGCACUUAACUGAGCUCUUUAUGUUAACAAGCUCAUCUCUUUUCAUUUCUUGUAUAGGUAAUGAAUAAUCCUUGUAUAGGUAAAGAAAGUUGCUUCUAGAUGGUAAACCAGUGAAACUGACAUCUAAGAUGGCUUUAGGAGCUCUCUCUUGCUCCAUAGAGUGACCACUCACCUAUCUUGGGUGUUCCCAAGAUCUUAAAAGAUCUUAAAUCCUGGUGAGAUGAAUCGGGGACUUAGUGCAGAAGAGCAUCCAUAUGGGGAUUAGCCAUGGCCCUGUGCUUCAGACACAUGGCCUGGAUCACCAUGCAAAACACAGGUAUUCAUUGUUCACUGUUGGAACAAAAGGAGAUGUUCAUGGCAGGCUUCCCCUCCCAAACUCCAAAAUGACUGCAAAGAAUAGUGUUUGCCCCAACCCCUAGAAACUGCAUUUAAGGUGAAUUCCUUGUGGUCCUAGUGAUGGAGGUCAGAGAUCUCUGGUCUGACCUCUUCAUCCUUCUCUGCCAGUCUUGGGCAUUACUGAAGCACUUCAAAGAGUGAAUUUAUAUCCUAAACAUUUGAAUGGCUGAGCUGUUCAAAGGUUACUUUCCUGCUCCAUCCCCAAACUUGCCUGUAAAAAGUGAUCUAGCUGGUAGUAAUAACCAAAAAAUUCUCCUCCAAGGUACAGUUUGGGUAGUUUCAUGGGUUUUUUCAAUGAUGAUAACUGCUUUACAGGCAGCUUGUACGGAGAUGAAAGUGAUUGCAAUUUCAUCCCUUAUUGUUGGGAUUAUAGUUUUCCUCAGAAACACUAAACUGAAGACUAAACAAGCAAAUGAACUGUGACUGUAUUCAGAAAGCUGCUCUGACAAGGCUGAACAUACGUCUCCAUCUUAUGGUGAGAGUCUCUCAGAGCGAAACUUUGGAAUUGCAUAUUGAGUCUGUCUGAAGGGACCAGCAAUUUAAUCCAGUAUAAGAACUUUGGAGAUCUUGUGCAUUCCCAUAUUUCACCUGAAUAAAAGAGACACAGCCAGAGGAGUGGGAGAAUUAAACUGAUUUCUGGAAACUCGAGGGCUAAGUGAACCAACAUAUGGUCACUACUACUUAUUCCUACAGCUAAGUAUACGUCAGUGAGUUGACGAUCUUCACCUAUCUCUCAGAACAACUUGAUUUUAAAAAAUAUGGUUAGGGUUAUGACAAGACGGACUUUAGCUGCCCUGCAGGGACCUGUAAAGAAAGGAUUCAACACUUUGUAUCAGUACUUAGGGAAAGACUUUAGCUAGAAAGUGGAAGAUAAAACUGAGUUCCAGGGAUCACGCUAUUUUCCAGCAUGGUAACACCGUGACCAAACUGUACUGUUUCAUCCUGACAUUUUUCUCCUGUUCUCCCUUUCCUUUUUUUGAGGAGUCAGAUAUAUCUCCCUUUCUUCCUUUUCCUCCCUCUGUGUGAGAACAUAGAGAUGCUUCCUGUAAAGACACAUUUCUCUAAAUCCUAUUCCAUACCAACUCUUGCAUAUGUGACUGCUUUGUUAUUUGAAAUGUCUGUGAAAAAGAAAUAAAGGCUUUAAGAGUGAGCUCUGGAAAUGAAGAGUAGCUUGAGGAUAAAUCAAAUAUAAGGAUGCAGAUCCAUUUUCUGAAAGACUUGUCAGAAGGGUCCUAAAUUCUCAUCACUGCCCUCCUUCCCUCCGUCUCUGUGAGAGGAGUGGUGAGGGUCCUAGAAUGUAGGACUCUCAAAGGUUGCUCUUUUAGCUGUCAACUCACUGUGUCCCAUGAGGCUCUUGCAGACUUUUCAGAGUUUUACUGUCAAAGGAAACCUCUUUUUAAAAGGUGAUAAUGUUCAACAUCAAAUGGGAAGAGGCUCUAAAGGGUGGCUCUGUCCCAGUUUAUCUUUCUUUCUCAUUCUUUACAGCAGCCCUAUGUGUCCAUCCUGCACUCUCCUCCCAGCUGGACUGACUUUGCCAAGGGUGCAGCUUGCCAAGAGGGGCCUCCCUGGCCUCUCACCCCCGUGCUGCUCUUGGAUUAUCUUCUUGGAUAAUUCUACACUUUCUCUUAAAAAAAAAGUCUCACCUCCUACCAAAAGCCAUAACUACUCCUGUGACCCUGCAGCAGGAAGCCUCGCCAGGGACAGCAACAAUGCCUGGCACUGGAGGGAUCCUAGGGGAUAGGCAGGAAGAUGGGUGGAGCUCACGUGGCCAUCUCACAUCAGAGAGCUAAACUAUCACCUUGCCUUGCAAACUCGCACCAUGCUUCAUGAGCAACUUGGACAGUUCAAAGUCUGGAUCUGACUUCUCACUGACUCACACUUACGCCAUCGCACACUCCUAUGGCAAAUAGGUGUAGGCAUGGCAAAACAAGCCUAUGUGAAGGCAUCAGCGGUUUGCACAAGGGUCAGUGAAAAAUCAGACUCACUGGACUCUCCCCCAUCCACAGCAACUGCAUCUCAUGCAGGUAUUUGCUCUUUAGGAUUUCUUCUGCCCCAAGUGAUAUUUACCCUAGCCAUGAGCUACCACACUAGCCAAAAGGUUUUAGAGGCUUACCCUUCCUUGGUUCCCACACUGGUCCUUUUAUUCCUUAAGGAAAAGCAUAUUUUUUUGUUUAGAAGAAAUGAACCAAUUCCUAUAACCAUCCUUUGGAGAUGACAAAAGCUGAAAUCAUCACUGUCUCUAAUUUACAGUUUGGGAGGCUUAGGAUAAUAAUUUACUUAAAUGCUUGUGAAUUGAAGCAUGUCAGCACUUUUCUAGGACAUUCCCAAGUAAAAUAAUAUAACUGGUAGAAGACAUUCAUCAUGUGAAUGCAUCUUGGCCAGAUGUUUAUGUUUCCUCUAAGCGCAGCACACACAUAACAAAGCUGGAUUAGAAAAAACCUAGAAUGCCACAAUACUCAGGCAUACUCAGAGAAAUGGAUUGAUACGGUGCAUUUAUUUGGCAUGUUUUGUCUUCAGAAAGUGCUACGAGUCCCACCAGACCUGUCGGAGGUAUGUAGUUAUUAUAGCCAUUUUAGAGAUGGGAAGCCAAAAACCUGAGAAAAGACCUGAUGUUCAGUGGUUUGAUGCCCCCUUGGAAUUUCUGCUAGUUGCAGGUGGAGCCUUCUGUUUUCAGCACUCUUGAAAACCCAGACCGUAACUGGUUUAUCCAAAUCUGCGGUGGCUAUAAAGGUGAAAGCCAGGAUUAGGACACUCAGGAUCCUGACUUCAUCAGAGCACUGCUACAGAGCUUUGAUCCCAUGAAGCACAUGCUUAAUUCCAAGCAUGAAUGUUCCGUUAAUGAUGCUAUUGCCAUGCUUCAAGCUAGGCACAUGCCUAAUUGCUUUGCUAGAUUGGGAAUUACAUUAAAAUAUAUUAAACAUCAACAUAUUUUGAAAAUCCAAAAAUGUGGCCAUUUCUCAUUAUCUUUCAAGCAUUGUCAAGGAUAUUUGGACUGUGUAUGCAGCCUCUCAACCAAGUGGAGCACUUUUUAGCCAAUCUGUGCACAGUUUAAUGAGUUUUGGGUAGCAACAUCCAGUUGUCACAAGUAUUCAAGAGUGGCUUGUCCUGCGAGGUUUGGACUCCUGUGCUGCUACAAGAAGCAAAGUGGCUCCUGUGGCCAUCGGUGCUAACAACACAUCAGCAACAACUGACUAUUGUGAUAGGUCGCUCUGGUAAGAUGUGAGUGUGGUGGCUGAUUUCACAAGUAAUGCAGCAUCUUAUCAAGUGUAUUGUACUUUUCCAUUCCUUCCUGUAAUCUGUUUGAGAAGAGGUGAACAGAAGUUGUUUAAACGUGAAACAACCCCUAACUUCUUGUUCUGUUACUUUAAGGUGCUAAUCUGCAGACACACGGGUGUUUGUGCACGGGCAUCGGUGUUUGCAGGACUGUUGCCCUGAAGGAUCAUUUAGUGGCAGGGUUGAGAUCAGGGAACCAACAGGGAAAGUGAGCAAACCCCUGUAACUUUGAACAGACAAAAGUCGCAGAAAGCAUCAUAGGACUUUGCCAAAAAAACUGGCUACAUCUUACAGUUUUCCUUUUGUUUUGAUUUGGUUUGGUUUUGGUUUUAUCCAGAUCGGCACAGAAGACUGUAUUUCCAUCAAUUAAAAUCUUGUCUGGUAACUAACUAAACAACUUGUUCAUGGAAAAUUAAAGAAUAAAUAAGUAAACUGUCAGUUGUGGAAUGUAAACUGAUUAAACAAAUAAAAAAAUCAUGUUGUGUGUUUUAA